GCACUGCUGAGGAGUCCCAUACUAGGACGAAACGGCCGUCCAGUNN
rnacentral:hammerhead_ribozyme from 1 species